rnacentral:ncRNA from 2 species
AGGUCACGCAGCGACUGGCGGCACGGGGAUGGUUCAACCAUCGGGGAGCUCGUUGCGGAGAGUCGACCGCCUGGGCUCCCGCG